AGAGUUUGAUCCUGGCUCAGAACGAACGCUGGCGGCAGGCCUAACACAUGCAAGUCGAGCGCCCGCAAGGGAGCGGCAGACGGGUGAGUAACGCGUGGGAACGUGCCCUUUGGUUCGGAAUAUUCCCGGGAAACUGGGAGCAAAACCGGAUAAGCCCUUCGGGGGAAAGUUUACGCCAAAGGAUCGGCCCGCGUUAGAUUAGGUAGUUGGUGGGGUAACGGCCUACCAAGCCUACGAUCUAUAGCUGAUCUGAGAGGAUGAUCAGCCACACUGGGACUGAGACACGGCCCAGACUCCUACGGGAGGCAGCAGUGGGGAAUCUUGGACAAUGGGCGCAAGCCUGAUCCAGCCAUGCCGCGUGGAUGACUGAAGGCCCUAGGGUUGUAAAGUCCUUUCGACGGGAACGAUAAUGACGGUACCCGUAGAAGAAGCCCCGGCUAACUUCGUGCCAGCAGCCGCGGUAAUACGAAGGGGGCUAGCGUUGUUCGGAUUUACUGGGCGUAAAGGGCGCGUAGGCGGAUUUUUAAGUCGGGGGUGAAAUCCCGGAGCUCAACUCCGGAACUGCCUUCGAUACUGAAAGUCUGGAGCACGGUAGAGGUGAGUGGAAUUCCGAGUGUAGCGGUGAAAUGCGUAGA
rnacentral:rRNA from 1 species